GUGGGGAAUCUUAGACAAUGGGCGCAAGCCUGAUCUAGCCAUGCCGCGUGAGCGAUGAAGGCCUUAGGGUUGUAAAGCUCUUUCGUGGGGGAAGAUAAUGACUGUACCCCAAGAAGAAGCCCCGGCUAACUCCGUGCCAGCAGCCGCGGUAAUACGGAGGGGGCUAGCGUUGUUCGGAAUUACUGGGCGUAAAGCGCACGUAGGCGGACUGGAGAGUCAGGGGUGAAAUCCCGGGGCUCAACCCCGGAACUGCCUUUGAAACUCCCAGUCUUGAGUUCGAGAGAGGUGAGUGGAAUUCCGAGUGUAGAGGUGAAAUUCGUAGAUAUUCGGAGGAACACCAGUGGCGAAGGCGUCUCACUGGCUCGAUACUGACGCUGAGGUGCGAAAGCGUGGGGAGCAAACAGGAUUAGAAACCCUGGUAGUCC
rnacentral:rRNA from 1 species